UGAAGCGAUAAAGCAGGUUGCAA
rnacentral:miRNA from 1 species